rnacentral:rRNA from 1 species
GACGUAGGGUGCAAGCGUUGUCCGGAUUUAUUGGGCGUAAAGAGUUCGUAGGCGGUUGCCUAAGUCUGAUGUUAAAUCCCCGGAGCUCAACUUCGGUAUGGCAUUGGAAACUGGGUGGCUUGAGUAUGAUAGAGGUUACGGGAAUUCCUGGUGUAGCGGUGAAAUGCGUAGAUAUCAGGAGGAACACCGGUGGCGAAAGCGCGUAACUGGGUCAUAACUGACGCUGAGGAACGAAAGCCAGGGUAGCAAAAAGG